GGCAUCUUCUCCUACCCAUACUUCUGUGUCAUCCAUGGGAUGUUUCUGCUUGCCCUCUAAAGCCAGGUAGUGAUCAGUAACUUUUUUUAACAGCAAUUCGGAAGUGGCUAAAGUUAAAGCCAUGUGGAUAUUGAUAGAUCAUGCCCUAACUGGUCCUUCCAUUCAAUAAAUAAAUAUAAAAACUGGGGAGUAAUAUUCCCCCAAGAAGGCUUCAAAGAAGUCAAGAGACAGACUGGGGUUCCAGUCCCUGACUCCCGGGCCUGGCGCAUGGAUAAAUCACCUUUCUACCACACCCCCUUGCCCAGCCUGAGACCCUCCCACAAUGGUGAUGAGCAGCCGAUUUGACUGUACUGUCAACAGAGAAAAUACCCCUAUCUAGUUAUUAGGGAUGGUCCCAGGGAGAUGGACAAUGAAGGACAACUGCCUCUGAUAAAGACUUCAUUCCUUUCAUGAUCCGGGCCCAAUCAGUAGAACAAGCAUUUACAUGUUAUAAAUCAACACAACUUCAUGAGAAUGUUUUGAUUCCUAAAGAAAUUGGAAUUUCAACUGUUUCAGCCCUUCUUAGAUAAUCAUAAAAGUUUAACAGCUAAAUGUGUAUAGGGCAGUAAAGAAAAACUUAAUUCAAGAAUCUCGGUUUCCCAUAUAAUUAAUUACUUGAAGGAAACACUGGUUAUGCUAGUUUUUAAAUUUUUUUUUUUUUGAGACAGAGUCUCGCUCUGUCUCCCAGGCUGGAGUGCAGUGGUGCAAUCUCGGCUCACUGCAAGCUCCACCUCCCGGGUUCACGCCAUCCUCCUGCCUCAGCCUCCUGAGUAGCUGGGACCACAGGCGUGUGCCACCAAGCCCACCCAAUUUUUUGUAUUUUUAGUAGAGAUGGGUUUCACCAUGUUGGCCAGGAUGGUCUCGAUCUCUUGACCUCAUGAUGCGCCUGCCUCGCUCAGCCUCCCAAAGUGCUGGGAUUACAGGCAUGAGCCACUGUGCCCAGCCACUACUUUUUUAUAAAAAAAACCUAAAGAUGAAUCAUCACUUGUUUUUGAGUUUUCCAGCUUUUUGCACAUCUAAUCAUAUAGAUGCAUCCAGCUCCAAUAAUGGUCAACAAAAUUUUUCUCUUUUAAAAAAGUUCAUUAUGAGCUGGGUACAGUGGCUCAAUGCCUGUAAUCCCCAGCACUUUGGGAGGCCAAGGUGAGUAGGUCAGUUGAGGUCAGAAGUUCCAGACCAACCUGGCCAACCAACAUGGUGAAACCCCGUCUCUACUAAAAAUACAAAAUUUAGCCAGGCG
rnacentral:lncRNA from 1 species